CCACCUUAAGAGCUGUAAUACUCACUGCAAGGGUCUGCAGCUUCAUUCUUGAAGUCAGACCAAGAACCCAGCAAUUCCCAACACACAGGGACCAGCUUCUUUCCUAACUCACUUAGGCUCUUCGUGCUGCUCUGGCAACUAACACCCUUGGCUGCAGGGGCUUGGACACUACCCUUAGUCACUGACAAUUGUGUGAAGGCUGCUGUCGUUAACUUCACUUGAUCACCUUAGGCUCCUGUGAAGUGGUGAGCAAUUCAAACAAAUUCCUGUCGUCAAAUCAUAUAAGAUCAAUCAGAUUCGUGUUUUGCAACUACUUCUUGGCAAGACGUACGGGACUGACCGCAGUUGACACAUGCCAAUAGGGGGAGAAAUCUGAAGACGUGUUUCUGUGCAGUGGUGGCACCCAGGGGCUCUGGCCAGAGGAGGUCACAGGAAGAUGCCUAGCGGCCCGUGGAGCGACCUGCCCCGCAUUGUCACUUGACCGCUGGUGUGCGAAGGGGAUAACACUGUGUUCAAUGUGUUUGUAACCUUGCAUGAAAAAAUUGAAGAAAUGUCACUUUCUUCUCACCCUCUCCCAGGCCAAUCAUCUGUCAUGAAUUCAAUAUGAGGCAAACGUCUGGUGAUCACAGGGACAAACUAGGGAUAGGCCUUUGGGAGAGGAAUCUACUCAGUUUGUGUUCAACCGGACUAUCCAGGUAGGGGAGCUGGCUGGAGAGGGAGCCAGCAUUUGUUGACUGUAAUCUCUGAGCUAGGGUCGCAAUUACAUCUUCUGCAUCUUUGUGUGCAUAGUACCAAGCACAGAAUUAUCCAGAGUAGACACUCAAUAAUUGUUUGUUGGAAGAGUCAUUGUUGCUUUUGCUUCCAAGCCCCUCACAAAUUUCCACACAGUGCAGUUGAGCUCGCACAGUCAAUGAACAGUUUAUAUCUGAUUAAUAGGGGCUGAUAGUCUGAGGUGGCCUGCCUUCUUGCAGAGAAAGUUUGGGGUGGGUUACUGAGACAGGCUGGAUUCAUGGGGUGAGUUGGCUCAUGACCCAACAUAGCCAGGAAGCAAAGCGGAUAUUCCUCUGAAUUUUGCAGGCCAGGUGUGGCAUGUGUCUGAAAUUUCAGCUGCUUUAUCUUUAUACCCAUCAUUUUGGUAAGACUAUGUGUCCAAUCUGAAAUUCACCAACAGGACAGGGCCAGCUGCCAGAACUGAAGUCCCAAGAAGAAAACCAAGCAAAGCUGAGACACAAACCUGAACUUUUGAACUUGUCAAUCUACUGAGUCAACUAACUCUGGGACUCCCAUGUCUGGACUUCUUCAUGUGUGUUAACCUAUCUUCCUUGUUGCUUUUGCCACAAGGUGUUCUGGUUCUUGUAACCAAACGCAUCCCAUCUGACUCACUGGGCACCUGACUCCAGUUGUGUAAAACAGGCCCAGAUAGCUUGCCUUUGCCUCCGUUGGCGUGUGGUGGACAAUUGUAAAUUUCCUUGUAAGAAUCCUGAUUUUGUUUGGAAGGACAGCGUGCCUGGUUCCAGGACUUGAAUCAUUCGUUUGUCCAGCAUCUCCAUGCUGUGUACGCUACCCGCCUGUUAGUCAUUGACACUGUCUGCUCCUGACAUCCACCCAUCAAUAUUGUCAUUGCUCAAUGAUCCAGGAUCACCGAGAGCAGAUGAGCCUCCUGAUGCAUGGUCAGAAGGUCAAUAGUAGCUUACUUCUCCGUCACAACGCCUGAGUUAUUCACCUCACCUCACCUCAUCACAUGGCCAUUUGAAUCAUCUUAUAUCAUCACAAGAAGAAAGGUGAAUACACAAUAAGAUAUUUUGAGAGAGAAAAAGAGACCGCAUUCACCUAAUUUUUAUUGCAGUAUAUUGUGAUAAUUGUUCUAUUUUAUUAUUGGUUAUUGUUGUUAAUCUAUACUGUGCCUAAUUCAUAAAUUAAACCU
ensembl:lncRNA novel transcript